CCGGGUAAUCUUGUUAAACCCUGUCGUGCUGGGGAUAGAGCAUUGCAAUUAUUGCUCUUCAACGAGGAAUGCCUAGUAGGCACGAGUCAUCAGCUCGUGCCGAUUACGUCCCUGCCCUUUGUACACACCGCCCGUCGCUCCUACCGAUUGAAUGAUCCGGUGAGGCCCCCGGACUGCGGCGCCGCAGCUGGUUCUCCAGCCGCGACGCCGCGGGAAGCUGUCCGAACCUUAUCAUUUAGAGGAAGGAGAAGUCGUAACAAGGUUUCCGUAGGUGAACCUGCGGAAGGAUCAUU
rnacentral:rRNA from 1 species